rnacentral:rRNA from 2 species
CAGUCGAACGAACUCUGGUAUUGAUUGGUGCUUGCAUCAUGAUUUACAUUUGAGUGAGUGGCGAACUGGUGAGUAACACGUGGGAAACCUGCCCAGAAGCGGGGGAUAACACCUGGAAACAGAUGCUAAUACCGCAUAACAACUUGGACCGCAUGGUCCGAGUUUGAAAGAUGGCUUCGGCUAUCACUUUUGGAUGGUCCCGCGGCGUAUUAGCUAGAUGGUGAGGUAACGGCUCACCAUGGCAAUGAUACGUAGCCGACCUGAGAGGGUAAUCGGCCACAUUGGGACUGAGACACGGCCCAAACUCCUACGGGAGGCAGCAGUAGGGAAUCUUCCACAAUGGACGAAAGUCUGAUGGAGCAACGCCGCGUGAGUGAAGAAGGGUUUCGGCUCGUAAAACUCUGUUGUUAAAGAAGAACAUAUCUGAGAGUAACUGUUCAGGUAUUGACGGUAUUUAACCAGAAAGCCACGGCUAACUACGUGCCAGCAGCCGCGGUAAUACGUAGGUGGCAAGCGUUGUCCGGAUUUAUUGGGCGUAAAGCGAGCGCAGGCGGUUUUUUAAGUCUGAUGUGAAAGCCUUCGGCUCAACCGAAGAAGUGCAUCGGAAACUGGGAAACUUGAGUGCAGAAGAGGACAGUGGAACUCCAUGUGUAGCGGUGAAAUGCGUAGAUAUAUGGAAGAACACCAGUGGCGAAGGCGGCUGUCUGGUCUGUAACUGACGCUGAGGCUCGAAAGUAUGGGUAGCAAACAGGAUUAGAUACCCUGGUAGUCCAUACCGUAAACGAUGAAUGCUAAGUGUUGGAGGGUUUCCGCCCUUCAGUGCUGCAGCUAACGCAUUAAGCAUUCCGCCUGGGGAGUACGGCCGCAAGGCUGAAACUCAAAGGAAUUGACGGGGGCCCGCACAAGCGGUGGAGCAUGUGGUUUAAUUCGAAGCUACGCGAAGAACCUUACCAGGUCUUGACAUACUAUGCAAAUCUAAGAGAUUAGACGUUCCCUUCGGGGACAUGGAUACAGGUGGUGCAUGGUUGUCGUCAGCUCGUGUCGUGAGAUGUUGGGUUAAGUCCCGCAACGAGCGCAACCCUUAUUAUCAGUUGCCAGCAUUAAGUUGGGCACUCUGGUGAGACUGCCGGUGACAAACCGGAGGAAGGUGGGGAUGACGUCAAAUCAUCAUGCCCCUUAUGACCUGGGCUACACACGUGCUACAAUGGAUGGUACAACGAGUUGCGAACUCGCGAGAGUAAGCUAAUCUCUUAAAGCCAUUCUCAGUUCGGAUUGUAGGCUGCAACUCGCCUACAUGAAGUCGGAAUCGCUAGUAAUCGCGGAUCAGCAUGCCGCGGUGAAUACGUUCCCGGGCCUUGUACACACCGCCCGUGACACCAUGAGAGUUUGUAACACCCAAAGUCGGUGGGGUAACCU